rnacentral:lncRNA from 1 species
UUAUUGUUUCUCUUUUUAUUCUUCCAUCUAAUUAGGGUUUCUUCUUCAUAUCCAUUCUAACACCACACCACCAAUAACAUGAGGGCUAAGGUAACAACAACAUCUUCAACUCUCUCUAUCCCUUAAAAUUGUUGUUGAAAUUGAUAUAUUGUGUGAUUUCUCUAUCUUUUAAAAUUGUUGUUAAAAUUGAUAUAUUGUGUGAUUUGUUUGUUUGUUAUUUGAUUUAUACAACAGUGGAAGAAGAAGCGAAUGAGGAGAUUGAAGAGGAAGCGUCGAAAGAUGAGACAGAGAUCCAAGUAGAUUGAUCGAAAUCAAAGUUUUAUGUUUUUGUUUUUGUUUUAGAUCGGCUUAGGUAUCGGUAGAUAUAUGUAUCGGUAUCGGAGUUUUCUUUUUAGCUCGGAAACGAUUUCACCUUCGGUUGAUGAGUCGGAAUAGCUACCAAAAUAGUGGUUUUAUGUUUAUCGUAAUUUGUAUCGGAUUUUAUGGUUUUUUCGUAAUAUCGGAAGAAUCGGAUUAGUAGCUUAUGGUUAUUUGGCUUAAUGUUUGAUUUGAUUAAUUAGUUUGAUUUAGUUUUUAACUUUUUAUUAAAUAGAGAAGAUAGCAUGGCCUGAGAUUAAGAUUAGUUUCAUAAUUCCUUUAUUCAUGAUUUGCCCCUUGUAUGCGGUUUUUAUUUAAGCAAUUUUUAUCACUAGAAUUAGUCAUGCUUUCACACUAAAAACCUUCACAUGAUAGUUGCCUAUAGUUUUUAUCUGCUUGUAAAGUUGUAUGCCAUGGUCUAUUAUGGAUUGAAUGGUCUAAAAGUUUGAAGCAUGUUUCAAACUUCUGAUGUACUUAGUCCGAUAUGGUCAUGGGAAUAUAGGAAUGUUAUGGUAGUUCUUGUUGUUUCCGGCUUGCUUGUUAAAUGUUGGUUUAUUGCAUUUUGUUGUUGUUGUAGAAGACACAAUAUUGUAGUGCCUGUUUAGGCUGUAUCAUAAUGCAGGCAUACAUUAUCUGAGCCUUUCUGCAAGCCUUACUCUUUGCCAUCAUAGAGUUUGUAUUUUAUGUUUCCUGUUAGGUUUGAGGCACAUUCGCUGAUAACACCUUGAGUUGGCAUACUGCCCUACCAUGUCAAGGUUUGGAAAUAAAGAAAACCUUUAAGCAUGUUUUUGUUUCUAAAUGUUGCAUUGUACCGUUUUUGUAUAGAGGAGUAAGGAGGUGCAGUUUUUACUUCACCGAUGUGCCUAUUCUUACUCCGGGAGUACUGUUAAUUUCUAUUACUUGUGAUGCUGGCAAACAUGCCUUGUUAGUUGUUACAAUGGAUUGGAUCCAUCUGUGAUUAAAUGUGAUUUGUUAAGCUAUGGAUGGGCAGAAUUGGUUGUCAUUUGGUUUGCUAAAAUGCUAAGUACUGUACUUUAAACAGUUCCUAAGAGCAAUCCCAAUGGGAGGGCAGUUUGGUGCCCUCCACGUAGGUGUAGGUUUGGGGAUGACUCUAGUUAUUAGGUGGUAAACAUUUGUAUUUUUGCAACCCAACCAACCCAACAAAGCAGGGCCUAUAGCAACUUAGAGCAUUCCCAAUGGAGGGUGGAUAAAUCCACCUCUACGUAGGUGCCACGUAGGUCCACCUAGGCAAAAUCCACCUCAAAGAGAGAGGUGUAUUUGCACUUGGGUGGUAGUUUCCCAACGCAGAGUGGACUCUUUGGUAUAGAAAGUGGAUUUUUUUAAAAAUCCGGACGGCAUGUCACAUGUCGUCCCAUUUUUUUUUGCAAAAAAAUAGGGAGACGGCAUGUCACAUGCCGUCCGAGAGUCCAAAAUUUUAAAACACUACUUAAAACUUAAAAAAACAAACGGAUGCCGUCCGAGAGUCCAAAAAUUUUAAAACACUACUUAAAACUUAAAAAAACAAACGGACGGCAUGUAAGGAUUUAUCCACCUUCAAAUCCACCUUCAAAUCCACCUUCAAAUCCACCUUCAAAUCCACCUGUGGGCAGCCCACCUCCGAAAUCCACCUCCCCUUGGGAAGCUCUUUUUGUCUACAAGGUGGAUUUAUCCACCCCACCUCCAAAAUCCACCUUGCAUUGGGAAUGCUCUUAUGUGUUUCAUUUUGAUGAAUAGGUCUAAUAACAGUUGGGUUUUUAUACUUUUUAUGUUUCUCUAGCCAGUCUUAUUCGCAGUCUUAAGUGGCCAUUGUCUUGUGUGCCAGAGUAGCACACUGCGUGAAUAACCUUGAGAUGAUAGUGGGAGCAUAUGCACUGGGGUACAACAGUAAAUCUUUUUAUUUGAAUGCACAAUGUAGCUUAGGACACAAUCAACUCACUUUAUGUCUCUAUCCAUAGUCGUGCAAUUGUGUAUACGGAAUAAUUCUAUGCUUACAAACUUUUUUCACAAACUACCUCCACAAACUGAUGGGGAUUCAACCGAUAAAUAAAUCAGAAUUUUCUUAUGUACUCUUUUUUAGUUCUUUCCAUGAAACCGAAACUCUUUUGCAAGCAUCUCUCUUCUCUCUUUUUUUUUUUUUUUUUUUUUGUUAUUUUUUUAAUUAUAAUUAAUAAACUCAACGAAUUACACAAAAGUAGAGGACAAACGCGCUACAAACUGCGCGGAAAGUCCAUUCUGGAUAGCAAACUCGAUUCUCCUAAAUACAUAUUCGUUCAAACCUGCAGUCAUCACGUUACUUUUUUUUUGUGUGGAGUUAUUUUAUUUCUCACUAGUCCAGAAUUUGAAAAUAAAUAUCUUAUUAAUCCCAUAAUCAAUUUUAUACGAUAUUAUUAAAUCUUUCAUUGGUAUAAUAAAGGAAGAAGAUGAUUUUAUCUCGAAAACUUGUGAUAAAAGGAAAGAACAAUGGGUGCUUAGGGGUAAUUUACCUCUUUAAUUAUUUCAUUAACUCUACCCUAACUGGUGCUUAGGGGUAAUUUAUAAAUCUCACUAAUAAAUUUUUUUUAUUCUUCACACAAUUAGGAAAAUCCUUUUGAUUUUGAUUCAUUCCUAAAACAAUAUUCAUAUUAACAACCAAUUUUUUUUUUCAAUUUCCUCUAGUUUUACUACUAUUUAUAUCUAAAAUUUUAAAAAUAUUGACAAUGAUUAUUCAAUUAUUCAUUAAAAUAAAAAAUUGACAGAAGAUUGAUCAUGUUUAUUUUGCAAGAGUUCCCAUUCCUGAUGCACAAUGAUUUUCGAGUCUAUACUGUUAUAAUCUUAUGAGUUCCUUAUAUAGUGGGGAAAAAAAAAGAAUGAGACAGAGUAAGAAUCAAAACAUAACUUGUUAGAUAUUUUGUAUAUUCUUUAUUUUCUUAUUUGUAGGUGGAUAUACAAAUUUGUAAAGAUAUUAAUUAAUUAUUGAUAACAACUGUAUUUAUAUAUGUAUGGUUAUUGAGGAUAAUUAAGUAAACUUUGAAAAUAAUCAUUGGCAAGAUCAAUUUUGCUCUUGGCAAAAUCUGGAACCUUAAUAUUAGACAAACUACUAAACAAAAGAUUUUUGAAAAUUUGAAGAAGAGAAUGCAUGUAAUAUAUAUUAGAAUUUACAGUUUUAGUUUGCUAUAAUUUGAGUAAGAGUGAAAGCUUGGGUGAGAGAGAGAGAGGGAAAAAAAGUGUGUUUUUUUUUUUUGUGAUGAGAUCUGACGCAAAAUUUUUAAUUACGUGGACAAACCACCUCAGUUGACACGUUUGUUUGUAGAAGAAGUUCGUGGGGUUUCUUAGUGAGAGCAUUCCCAAUGGUAAAAGGCUUUUAGGGGUGCCACAUAAGAGAGAGGGAGAAGGUUUUUAGGAUAGACUUGAUAUUAAAAGUAAUUUAUGGUUUUAGAGUUGCCAAUGGUUGAGUGUUAAAAGCUUAAAAUUUCACUUUCCCAAAGACAUGAUGGCUGUGCUUGUUUCCCCGGAAGUUAUGGGGAAACGAAAACGGAAAGAUUUUAAAUUUUAAGAAAGGUAACAAAUUUUCAAAACUUUCCAUUUAUAACCAGGAUUGUUGCUUGAUUACCAGAUCAAUAAAAAAGGAAAAAAAAGACGUGGCGAGAUUAUAAGCUUUGGGGACCGGUGGGGACCAUAAAUUAGAGACGUGAUUUUCUGUUUUGCAUAGAUUUCCUGGUUUAUCAAAACUGCAAUUUUUGCUGACGUGUUUUACAUUUUAAAAACCUUUUUACAGUGGGACCCAUAUCAACUGAAAUCACCAAGCACCUGGAAAAACAAAAAAUCAGCAAAUCGCUGACGUGGUUUUCCAUUCCAGUUUUUUUCCUAGAGAACAAGCACGGCCGAUGUAUAAAAUUUAACUUUGAAUUAACUAACUAAUCCUAUGUGGCACUUUUAACUCUCGGCAAAUUUGCCAAGGAGUUAAAAGUAUUUUGUUUGAAAAAUGUGUUAAUAUCAACCAUUGGCAAAAGUUUUUUACUAAAAGUUCUUAAAAGGAAUUUAAAACCUACCGUUGGGAAUGCUCUGAGUGUAGAAUUACUCAAUAUUGAGCGAGUAUGCAAGGAUAACACGUGUUGUUUUUGAAAGUCACAGUGGAUUGUUUGAUGCUUAGAUAUCUCUUUUUCGACACCUUAAAUACUCAAGUUGAUUAUUAGAUAUCUCAUUGUUUUGGAAUUCAUCAGUGGUCCUACCUCAAGACGUUCCUUGUUGUAAUAUUGUACUUGAAAAUGAAGCCACGAAGGGAUAUACGUUGUAUAUCUAUUUUCUAUAGUGACUUUGAGACAAAAUUUCCUAAACUUUUUGAAAACUAUCUUUAAUUUUAAAUGUCAGAUUAGAUGAAUGAAAAUGUGCAUAAUUGACCAACGACAUCUUUUUGGUUAUGAAUCUGAGUUUUAUUCCAUAUCAAAUUAAUGACAGGCCCAUAUACACGUCGAACAGAUUCGCAUACACUAAUUUACAUUGAUAAGGUGUCUUUUUUAUUAAAAAAUUAUUUUCUAUUCCAUCUCUUUGUAAUACAUUGAUCUUAUUGUUUAUUGUUUGGUAAUUUGUUUUUUCAGUAUUUUGAGUAUAGAGGAGUUACCUUAAUCUACUACCUUUGGAGUAGCUCGGCCCCGCUGAGGGGUUGGGCCACGUCUGCACCCUGCUAGUUCAGAUGCAAGCCUUUAUUUCAAAGGUUGUCUUUGCAUUCUUCUUUUUUGAACUGGCAGGAGUGCAGGUGUUGAAACCCGGGUUUGACUGAAUUGGAAAAUUAUCCUUCUGAAUCUUCCUGCUCCAUUUUGUCAAUCCCGGUUGAGUGGAUGUGUCUUUCAUCCACAUGGUUCUUGCAUUUGAAUUGCUUGGCCAAGCUCUUUGACAGAGCCUGAUGAUAACGAAAAAAAUGAAAAGACUUGCCUUGACUUGGAAGUAUUGCCGUGGUUGUAAUUAAGGUAUGUGCCAAAGUUUUCAUAGCCUCUUUUUGCAUUACCUUCUUUUGUUAUCAGUUUUGGUUUUAAUCGCAAGCAUGUUGAUGGAUUUGAUGCUAUUCAUUUUCAGUGACUAGGUACUGCUUAGUCUCUCUGACGCUGCACAUGGACAUUAUACAACUAAUGGAGAUUCGUGCACUUUGAGCUUUGGUGCCUUGGUGGAAUACGUGUUACUACCAGAUCUUUGAGCUUUAAGAUGAAUACUUGAUUGCUAUUGGAAUUUUUGACCUAAAUACAUAUUCCAUGGAAAUUUAUGUGCUGCCUCACCUUUAUAUAUAACUUCCUAGACUCCUAGCAUAAAGAUUUGGAACCUGAAUAGAACAUUGUGUAUUUAUUUGUAUGAUCCCAUCAAUGGCAGCUACUUCAAAAUUGCAGUAUGACUUAGUUCCGUGUUUUUUUUUUCACAAUGUUUUGUUUGCCAAAUUGUUGUCGCAAAUGACAGAACUACUUAAAAGUCGUUGCAAGGUGUCAUUUUGAUUUGAUUAUUUAUUGUUUUUUACAUGGAAAUGGUAGUGGGUUCUUCUGCAGAGUUUGUUGUAGAUGGCUAUAGUAUAAAAUGUGCAGUGGAAGUAUCUGUUGUGCGUAGUGGAAACUUAAACACAACUAAUGAUGAUUGAACUAGUGUAUGAAAUAAAAUAAAACGAUAAAAUCAAACGAACAACCACACAGGACACAAGAUUUACAUGGUUCGGCAAUAUGUCUAUAUCCAUGGGGAGAAAGGAUAAUGUUUUUCUUAUAAAGAUAAGAGCUAAUUAGUGAUACCCCCCGGAAUUCAAGGCAAAAAAAGGAACCCCCCCCCCCCCCCCCCCCCCCCAACUCCAAAAAGAUUUGUGUUACCCCCCCCAAAUUAUUUUCUGGUGAAAAAUAGACUUGAACUGCCAUAAAUACCCUUAUGCCACAUCAGACUUUUAAUUUGACCUAAACCAUUGCUGACGUGGCAUAGAUAAGAUAUUAUGGGCUGGGUUUAGAUAUGGUAUAGAUAAGAUAUUAUGGGCUGGGUUUACGCACAGACCCCUGUGCGUGCAUAUUCACAUAGUACAGAUUAAGUGGACAAGGGCCAAGUGAAGCAAUGGGUUAGCUAAAAGGUGAACAAAAAUGAAGAAAGUAUGCACUAGUCGGGGAUUUCGGGCAACUCUUUUUGUUAUUAGUAUUCCAGGUAUACAGAGAACCUGAAAUUAUGGUAGGUGAGUGUGUCAGUGGUGCAUGACUCUGCUAUGUCAAAAUAGAAACCCAUAGGCACGACUGAUAAGUUCCUAAAAACAAAUACUAAAACAACCCAUAAGUAAUAAUAAGUAAAAAACACACGAUAUUUUUAAAGUAGUAAAAUCCAAUAUGGGAAACGUUCAUGGUUGUUCUCGCGAUAAAAAAUAAUUCUACUAGAUGAAAAAGAUAUACAAACUAGGGAUGAGCACGGUUUGGUCGGUUUUGACCAAAACCGAAGCCAAACAGCCUAACAGGUGUUUUGGAAUAAACACAAUCGAAAUCAAACGUGUUGUUUCCCAAAAUCGAACCGAACCGAUCAAAAUAUGUAAAAACCGAAACCGAACCGAACACGUAGUUCAGUUCGGUUAACCGAAUCAAAACCGAACACCUUUUAAGUUGGGCUGAAUUAACUUGGGCUUAAGUAUAAAGACUAACAUGGGCUGAAUUAACUUGGGCUAAAGUGCUAAACUAAAGACUAAUAUGUUUGGUUCGGUUUUAGGUGUUGAAAAUUUUCUAAAACCGCAACCAAACACCCUAACAGGUGUUUUGUAAAAUUUCAAACACCAGCCAAACACUUAAACACCUAAACACCUUCAAAAGUGUUCAGUUCGGUUGUGUUCGGUUCGGUUCUUCGGUUUUGGUCUGGUUUUGUUUAGCCUUAGUACAAACCUAUCAACUACCUGCAAUCACUGUGAAUUGACACUACUUGUUAUCUCUAACACCUUGACUUCACUAGAGUACCUUGAUGUAAGCACAAGACACUCGACUUCUUGAUGAACACACAAGAAGACUCGAAGCCGAACUAUGAAUAAGUUUACACCAGAGUUCCUUGAUGAACACACAAGGAUACUCGACUUCUUGAUGAACACAGAAGAAGACUCGAAGAUAAAUCACUAUAAAAAAAUAAAGAAAGAUGAAUUGGGGAAGGAUAAAAAAUAGAAUUACACAAGGAUCGAUUGAGGAAGAAGAUGAUCUUUGUGGAAGAGCCGACAAACAAAUUAGGGUUCUAUGGAGGCUAGGUUGGAACUCUUACUUUUCCCAUAACACCAAUGCCAUAUUUAUAAUCUAGGGUAUGUACGUACCUCCUAACAUGGUACGUACAUUCCUGAACAAACUGCAACCUAACAUAGCUUAGAAGGAUGAGAAUGAAGACAUAGGGACGACGCUUACACAUCAAGGUACUUCCUAAUAAUGUCGUCAAGGUGAGAUAAUUCCAGAUACUCCUAACCUAAUCACAAAAUGAUGUCAAACAACCGAAUGUCGGUUUCAUGAACUUGAACUCAGACUUCUACUAGUAUGUCCUAGCCUCCUAGUGAUACCUCAAUGACUGAAUACAUGUAAAAAAUAACUUUGCACUCAAGUUUUGAAGAAAGAAAGUACAUAAAGAUUGAUAUUGUAAGUACCAAACCAUGCUAGGUGGAGUAUUGAGGACACAGGAGCUAGAUAAGGAGAGCAAACUGGGAAGUACCCAAUCGGAGUUCAGAACAUUCUAGAGUAUCACGGAUAAAGCACGUGAUGUCUGGCUGUAAAGCAUUCACUGUAUAGUAUGUGAUGGAGAAUGAAACACGUAGGAGAUAAUAGAACCAUAGGAUGCAAAGGAGGAUCCAACGGUUCAAGGAAGGCGGUGAAUAUUGCUAUAAAAGGAUCACGUUAGGGUUCGCUAAAAGGUAACUGUUCAUUCUUUGCUAAAAACCUAUUCUCUAAACCUAGCCGCUUACUGACUUGAUCGUUGGAGCUUUAUCCACCGGUCAUUGUCCGGUGGUCAUUGCAGGUACUACCGUUGAAGCAGUUGAAGGACCCAGCUGAGCUCAUCAAGGAAAGUGGGCUUACAUUUGGCGCUAGAAGAAGGGCCACUUUGCUGCUUCCAGAUCUAGGGUUUUGGAGAAGAAGGUUGAAAGAAGAAAGUAGAGAGCAAUGGUAACACAAACUAGAUCGUCGACAUAUCUCGGAGGUGUAGCAGCUGGAGAUGUUCCGCAAGUUGUUCAUCCUCAAAAUCUCCAAGAUGGAGACGAAGAUACAAACAGAUUGAGAGAAGAGAACUUGAGACUGAGGGAGCAGAUAAGAAGGAUGGAAGAUAUGGAUCGUCAAAAUCUUCAGGAAGGAGAGAACGAAGCAGUCAGAAAUGAAAACCAUCAGAGACCAUUGGAGAGGGUAAUACUAGGAGAAGGUGAAGGAGGAACAAGGCGUCGGAUUCCGGGCCUAAGAGUGAAUGAAGAAGAAGGGUCAGGAGAAUCAGGGGUAAGAGCUCGCGAAGGGAGUCGAAGGGAAGGGAUGAAUGAUGAAGAGAUCCCGGCGGCAGAUCAAUACACCAGACUUUUCGAUAUGAUAUGCAAGGUCCAAGAGGACAUGAGGGCGCAGAACAAGGGAAAGAACAUGGAGGUGACUCAGGAUCUGGAGAGAUUGGGCAAGAGGCCAUUAGCCGAAGUGUGCUACCGUCACGGGUUCCCAAGUAAGUUUCAACCUCCUAAGUUUAAUGAGUAUGAUGGAACAACUGAUCCUGUGCAGCACUUGAAUAAUUUCAAGCAAAAAAUGGCGGCUUGGGAAGGGAGCCAGUAUGACGGAAUGUGGUGUCGACUGUUCCCUAGCAGCUUGAAGGAUAACGCUACAGACUGGUAUCUCAGCUUAUCACCAGGGAGUGUAUCAAGCUUUGCUCAGCUCAGUGAGAUGUUUGUCAAGCAUUAUAUUCAUCAGAAAAGACAGGCUGCAGAUAUAGCGUCACUAUUUGAUUUGGAACAAGCUCCAGGUGAGUCUCUUAGAAAGUUUGUUACUAACUUUAAAAAUGAGAUUUUGAGAACAGAUGGCGGAGUAGAUGAAAGAACAGCUGUGGUAGCAUUUCAGAAGGGUAUAAAUAAGAAGUCUCCUGCAUAUGACUCGAUUGUGUCAUCACGGAUGGCGACUCUGGAUGAACUUUUCCAGAAGACGGAGAAAUACAUCAGACUAGAGGACAUAGCAUCACGGAGAGCUCCAAAAGUGGUACCGGCAUCCGUUAACUCGGUGGCGGAAAAAAGUAAAAAAGGGAGAAGCUAGCUCACGAAGUGAUUCGCCACCAAGAGAUUCCGGCUCUAGGAGGAACAAAGAUGGAUCGAGAGGUCACGACAAAAGAGAAAGGAGGGAGGAUAGAGAUACUUCACCAAGAAAGUUGAUACCACCGAAACCGCUACCGCAACUCACAAUGUCACUAGAUCAAAUUUUGAAGAGAAUAAGAGGAAGAAAGUACUUCCAGGAGCCGUCGGUAAGAUGUAGAACAGUCAGGGGAAAGCCAUUCUGUGAGUAUCAUCAGACUUACAACCACCCUACUGGAGAUUGUUAUGAGUUCAAAUCCUUGAUAUGGAAAUGGAUGGAGGAGGGCCAUUUGAGAGAGUUUAUAGUGGAAAAGAACAAGGAGGAAGACAAAACAGAAAUUCAAGUCAGAGGGACCGUUAACAUGAUCUUAGAAGGAGCUAGAGAAUCCUUGAACGAGGUCAGGAGGAAGAUAAGAAGAGUGAUGCAGAUAAGAGAAGACUUACAAACAGUCGGAGCCGUUCCAGUCAUGCGAAAUGGCAGACCAGUGCAUCAGAGUGAGUCGAUUGGGUUUUCAGAGGAAGACCUCAAAGGAGUAGUCACACCACACAAUGACCCAUUGGUCAUUUCCAUACUCAUUGGAAAUUGGAAUGUCACGAAAGUGUUAGUAGAUUGUGGAAGUGAGGUAGAUGUUCUGUUCACCAGGGGCUUGGAUCAAAUGAAACUGGAGAGAGGUAGCUUGGCAAAUUCACCUGGAGACAUUUACGGAUUCAAUGGGGGAGCAGUGCGGCCAGUUGGAGAGAUAGUCUUACCGGUUACAGCACACACCAGAACCGUCAUGUCGAGAUUUGUGGUCAUAGAUGCUCCAACAGAGUACAAUGCAAUCUUGGGAAGAGAAUGGAUUCAUCUUAUGAAGGCAAUUCCGUCAAGUUACUAUCAGAAGAUCCGUUUUCCGACUGAAGAUGGACAAUAUGAGAUAAGGAGCAAUCAGGCUAUGGCCAAGAAUUUGAAGAUAGCAACAGUAAAAAGUAUGAGGCAUGGCACAGCAGGUGCUGGGCCGUCAUCUAUCCCUGCAUAGCAACGACAGAAGGAGGGUGACGGGUUCCCGCGUGAAGUGCUAAAGACAGAAGAACAAACGGAACCCGUCAACCUCAAUGAGGUAGGGGAUCAGCGGAUCACCUACAUGGGAACCAACUUGGAUGAGAAGGUGAGGUUUGAUCUUUUACAAUUCUUAAAAGAUAAUAUGGAUGUAUUUGCUUGGUCUAUGAAUGAUAUGACAGGGAUCGAUCCAGACGUAGCAUGUCACAGAUUGAAUGUCAAUCCAAGUUUCAAACCAGUCGCGCAGAAAGUGAGAACAAUAAAACCUACACUGGCAGAGGCAAUAAAACAAGAGAUCGAGAAGAUGGAGUCAGCUGGAAUAACAAGAGAAGUUCAGUAUCCAGAGUGGGUAUCUAACAUAGUGGCGGUUCCGAAGAAAAACGGAAAGGUUCGGAUCUGUAUAGACUUCACAAACUUAAACAAAGCAUGUCCAAAAGAUAGAUACGUCAUGCCAAGGGUGGAUGAGCUAGUGGACAGAACAGCAGGCUUUGGGUUACUGUCAUUCAUGGAUGGCUAUUCCGGCUACAAUCAGAUUCCUCUAUAUGGUCCAGAUCAGGAGAAAACGGCCUUCUAUGCUGGUAAGAAAACUUUAUGUUAUACCAAAAUGCCAUUUGGUUUGAAGAAUGCAGGAGCUACUUAUCAGAGGCUGGUAGAGAUGAUGUUCGAAGAUCAGCUGAGGAAGACGGUAGAAGUAUACAUUGAUGAUAUGUUAGUCAAGUCCAAAGAGCCGGAGGAUCAUCUAAAGGACCUGGGAGAAACCUUCCAGACACUGCGUCAGUUCAAUAUGAAGCUUAAUCCAGAAAAAUGCACUUUUGGAGUACAGUCAGGAAAGUUCCUUGGUUACAUUGUUACCAAGAGAGGAAUAGAGGUUAGUCAAGAGCAGAUCAGGGCACUCACGGACAUGGCGUCACCAAGAACACAGAAAGAAGUGCAAGUACUGGCUGGCCGAAUUACGGCAUUGGGAAGAUUCAUAUCAAGAUCCACAGAUAAAUGCAAGCCAAUUUUGAAGCUCUUGAGAAAGAAUUUAUCUUUUGCUUGGAAUGAUGAAUGUGAAGAAGCCUUCCAGAAGUUGAAAGAAUACUUGAGUAGACCACCAGUUCUGUCAAAGCCAUUUCCGGGGGAGACACUCUAUGUUUAUCUAGCAGUGUCGGACAUUGCAGUAAGUGCGGUCUUGACCAGAAGGGAGGCCUCAAAGGAGAGCCCAGUCUAUUUCCUCAGCAAGAAGAUGACUUCACCAGAGACAAGGUAUUCUAGAGUGAAAAAGUAUGCCCUCGCUUUACUAUUUGCAGCUCAAAGAUUAAGACCUUAUUUCGAAGCUUAUAGUCUGACAGUGGUUUCAAACCUCCCUCUCAAUCAAGUGAUGCCAAAAAUCGAGCGUUCUGGAAGAAUGGAAAAAUGGGCAGUUUCAUUGAGUAAAUAUCACAUUCAGUAUGAGCCCAAGAAGGCGGAAAAAUCACAAGUGCUGGCGGAUUUCUUGGCAGAUUUCCCAGUGGAGGAUGUAAUCAAGGGUGCAGAAAUGCAAGAGGAAGAGCAGCUAGAGUAUCUAGAAGUUCAAGAUACCGGGUGGAAAAGCGUCAAAGGAUGGAAGGUGUUCACCGAUGGGUCAGUAAAUAAAGGAAGAUCAGCAAUCGGGAUAGUAGUGGUAACACCAGAGGACACUAAGAUCGAGAUCGCAGAAAAAUUAGCCUUUCCGGCUACCAAUAAUGAGACAGAAUACGAGGCGGUGCUGAAAGGUUUGGAAGUAUUGCUGAAGUUAGAGGUAAAGGAGGUUACGGUUUUCACAGACUCGAAAUUGGUGGUGGAACAGUUCAAUGGAACAUAUAAAGCUCAGACUGGGAAGAUGAUGUUGUACUUGGAGGCAUUGAAGAGGAGUGUAGCAAAGUUCUCGAAAGUUGAUAUUGUACAUCUGUUUAGGGGAGAGAACCGGCAUGCUGAUGCAUUGGCUUACCUGGCAACGGCAACAGAAGAGAAUUCAACCAAGACUAUAACGUUCAUGCAAAGAUCUCAGCCAAUGAUAGAGGUGAAGGAAGUGACUGUCAACCUCAUUCAAAACUUGGGAGCAAGUUGGAUGGACCCAAUAAUAACCCACUUAAAAGGUGGUUCUCUUCCGAAAGACAAAGCAGAAGCUAGAUCGAUUGUGGAGCAAUCCAAAAGGUAUGCAAUGAUAGGGGAAGACCUGUAUAGGCGAUCACCAACUGGACCGUUAUUGAAGUGUGUACACCCAUCCCAAACAGAAGGAGUCAUGGCGGAAUGUCACAAUGGAAGUUGCGGCAGUCACUCACCGGGACGGGCCAUGGCACACAGGAUAAUGAUUCACGGGCAUUACUGGCCAAGUAUGUAUAAAGAUUGUUGCAACUAUGCUAAGAAAUGUCAUGGUUGUCAGAUUCAUGGGAGACUCAUACAUACCCCAGCUGAAAACCUUCACUUUAUAAGCAAUCCGUGGCCCUUUUCGAUGUGGGGAAUUGAUAUUGUGGGAAAACUGGAGAAGUCACAGGGAAGAGAAUAUUUAAUUGUGGCCACAGAUUACUUUACGAAGUGGAUUGAGGCAGAACCUUUACGAAGGAUCAGGGAGGUAGAUGUCAAAGAUUUUAUCUGGACCAACAUCAUCUGCAGGUUUGGCUUACCAAGGGCUAUAGUAGCAGAUAACGGUGCUCAAUUCCGUGGAGAGGAGUUGAAAAAGUUUCUGGCAAGUUAUAACAUAAAGCAACUCUUCGCAACACCAUUUCACCCACAAGGAAAUGGGCAGGCGGAAGCAUCAAACAAGGCCAUACUGGAGGUACUGAAAAAGAAGCUUGAGGAUAAAAAAGAAAAAUGGUAUGAGAAUCUUUGGGAAGUACUAUGGGCAUACCGGACGACUCCAAGAAGGUCCACAGGGGCAACUCCAUUCUCCCUCACUUAUGGGAUGGAAGCUGUGAUACCACAAGAAAUGUUGGUACAUACGGCUAGAAGAAUGGUGGUCGAUCUAGGGAAGAAUAAUGAGAUAAUAGAGAGAGAGCUGGUCUUAGCUGAGGAGGUCCGGGAGCGCGCCAAGCUCAGAUUGGAGGGCUAUCACCGCCAACUAGAGAGGACAUACAACAAAAGAGUCAAGCCAAGAAGCCUAGUUCCAGGGGAUCUCGUGUUAAGAAAACAGAAUCCGCCUCCAGCCAAACUAGAGCCAAACUGGGAAGGGCCUUUUGUGAUAGACAAGGCGGGAGCGAAUGGAGCAUACUACUUAACCUACCAAGACGGUACCCCUCUUGAUAAGCCAUGGAGUAUCAGCAAUCUAAAGAAAUACUAUGCCUAGAGGGCAAAGAUGUAUUAGAGCAACAACAGUAGACAGUAUGUACCUAGAUUUGUUUGAAUUUCAAUGAAAAUAUAAGAUUUUGUUGUUAUUGACUUAUCUAGUUAUAUAUAUAUAGCACUAUUGUCUGAGACCAGGCCAAAGGUCAGACAUAGAAGAAACCCAACUAAGGUUGGUGGGAAAUAACAUAAGUGUAGACUUGGCAGGGCAAGCCGUUAACUAAAUGUUAAAGUCUCUAUAUGAUUAUUUCUUCCCCAUUGAGUUUGAUUUAGACAAUACAGUGGGGUGCCUCUAAAAGAGAAGAGCAAUAGUGCUAGUGUGUUAACGGGGUUGCACUUGCUGAACCGUGACGACGGGAUCAGUAGAAGUAUAGCCUAAUGUUAGCACAUGAGAAACCAAUGCCAGAAGAUAACAAUAAUUGAUAGCAAUUAUAAAAGUUUGCAAUGUUGGAAGACUUUCGUCAAAAUUAAAAAUUAAUCAAAUUACAACUCAAGGCAAGGAGUCUCGGGUGGAAGCGCUAGGAGGCGUUAUCCGCAUUUUCUUGGCAGAAAGAAUAGCGGUUAAGUUUUCCUUCACUUGAGCCUUCACUUGCAUGGCAAGUUGCUCUUUGAAUUUCGCCUCCAUCUCCUCGUAUUUUGAAUUGUAAUCAGCCAGGAGAGUUUCUCUUUGCUCCCGUAGGUCGGCCAGAUACUGCUGAUAGUCAACAUCAUGAGCGGCUUCGAGUUCAUUUAUUUUCACUAAGCUGUCAGCCCAUUUCCCCUCCAACCUUGCUACCACGGUGGCAUGAGCAGCAUCAAGGGCAGCAAUACGCUCACGGUGCUCACCCUCAAGUGCAGCAAUGUGAUUACGGUGCUCACCCUCAAGUGCAGCAACGCGCUCACGGUGUUCACCCUCAAGCCUUUUCCGGUUCUUCUCGAUUUCAGCAUCACGAGACGCGGUUGUUUCUUUCAGUUGAAUCUUAAGUUGCUCGAUCUCGGCUUGAAGAGCCCAUUUCUCGCGAACUAGUCGAUUCUUAUCCACUGUAAUGUCGUGCUUCUCUUUUACAAGAUUUUCUUUUUCCAGCCUAGAAGCAUUUGAAAAAGACUUGACGACGAGACCGUUAACCUACAAUUCAAUAGAAAAGUUAUAGUCCAAAAAAAAAAAAAAAAAAAAAAAAAAAAAGAGAAGAGGGGAGACUUACGAGAGCUAGACCACGGAAAACUGUAUCUCGGUCCUCACCAAAGUUCAUCUGAUCAAUUUUAGCUUGAUCAGAAGGAAAAAUAGAAUUGUAGAUAGCGGCGAAAGCAGUUGCCCCAUUGUCAAAAGCCGAAGCUGAGGGAUCACGGGGAAGGGGAACGGCUGGAGUCUGGCUUGGAGACUGGGGGGAGGGAGAAUCAGCAAGUACUUUACCGCGAGAAGAGGAGCCAACCUUGUUAGGGUCAAAGGCUGGUACAGACUCUGAAGACGAAAAAGGACCUUGGGAAGUAACACCGGCAGGAGGUGUAGAAGUCUUGUCAGCAGUUGGUGCCGGAUUAAUCUCAGCAUCAAGGGUGGGAGAGAAUUGCUGGCCAUCUGCGGCUUGGUCACCUGAUCCAGAUGAAGAAUAAUUAAGAGUACGAUGGCGGGUAUACCUAGGUGCUUCACGAAUAGGUGCAACAAGUGUAGCAACAUCAAAAAUUUCGUGAUCAACAGGAAGUGGUGGAGGCAUCGCACCAAUAAUAGGGGGCUCAUUUGGAUCAAGGAGAGCCAUGGAAAAUUCCUUAAGGGGAGAAGAUGAAGGAUGAGAAGUUGAACCUGGUUGGGCGAGAUUGUCCAUGCCGGUGUCUUCAAAUAGGAGACCACCAUCAAACCCAAGUUCAUCAAGAUUAAAGGAAACCUUGAUUCCACUAAAGUUUGGUUGUCUGGGUUCUUCCAGAGAGUCGCUGGAGGAAGAAGAAGGGGAUCCCGGUAGUUGAGAAGGAGCUUCUGCCAUUUUGGCCCUUUUCACUCUAGGAAUGGAAGGACCGUGUUGCUUUGAACGCGCCAGGUGAACUUCGGGAGAUUCCGGCAAUGUCUCUGGUUCACCUUGGACUGCCUGAAAAUCAGAACUUUCAGUUGAAGAAGAAGAAAGAUCACGACUACAAUUCCUGACAAUCUUUUGAACUCGAAGAGCAGAUAAGAAAGGGGGAAGUCGGGCAGUUACUCUUUUUUGCUUCUUCUUCUUGGAUGGCGCUGAAACUGCGGAAGGAGGUUCACGGGUUCUCUUUUUAGUUAGGAUCGUCUGAAGAGGGAUAUUAUCUCCACCGUCAUCAGAUUCUCUCUCCAACUCAGUAGCGGCAGCAGCAGAAGCUUUACCCUUCCUUUGUGUUGAUCGGGAAGUAGGAGGAAUAGCAGAAGACCUGCCCUUUUUAUCCCUGAGAUAAUCUUUGUGGCAGCAGACGGGUAAGACGUAUUCCCCUAGAUCAAGAUCCUUAACGAUCGGGGUACCGUCUUUCUUUGAGGAAGUAAGCUCACGAAUGGCGGAAUAAGCGUCAGCUCCAGAUCCUAUCAAAGGUUCCCAAGGGGCGUCUUUGCGGGGUCUUAAGGCUUUGCCGUCACCGCGAACCUCUGGGAUAGAAAACAGAUAAAAGAGUUAGACAGGCACUAUCAAAAGGAUUUUCAUCCUAGGAAUGUUAAUAUAUGAACAAAGUAGAAAAAGUGAGGAAAAAACCUCCUAGAUUAAACCGCCAGUAUUUUAAAGGGUUAGAAAUGCCAGGUCCUUUUCCCCCGAAGUUACCAAAGACAAUCAUAGGAAAGUCAGGCCAUUCCUUGUCACUUUCCGGCAAUUUUUCAAUAAUAGACCGCCUACCGGGGCGUUUGACGAAAUAGUAAUAAGGUUGACCACAUUUUUCUUCGCAAACCCGAAGAUAGUAACAUUGACGUAUAUCAGCAAGGGAAACGGUAGUUCCUUCAUUGUUUAGUUGGUCUAGGGCCCGCAAGAUACGCCAAAAGUUACCAAUACAUUGUCCAGGGGCGACUUGGUAAAAAUUAAGUACAUCACGGACUAAAUCAGAAAAAGGAAACGGGCAACCAAAAGCUAUUUGGUGGGCUGUCACCAUAAUAGCAUCUUGGCGGCUAAAUUCGUGAUGUGCAAAGCGUAGGGCAUGUUUGUAGUUGAAAAUUUUUACAUCUUCAGGAAUGUCGUAUAGUUCACAGAGUAGAUCUAAAUCAGGUCUAUAAGGGUAGGUACUGGGCACAUACGAAUCAAGGUAGUAACUGGAAGGGGAAGGGUGAACACCGCCAUCACCUUGACCUCCUUCAACUGUCUUCCUCGAAGAAUCUUUCUUUUUCUGAUUUUGAUAAGAAGCCAUUUAUGUAUAGAGAAAGGCUCACCAAAAUCGUAGAGAAAGAAAGAUUAGGGGCGUAUACAGGAUGACUCCAAGAGGAGGAAAGGAGAGAAGAAAAAUAAUUUGGAAAUUUACGGCAAUCGAAGUACAGAGUAUAUAGCGAGAAGAAGAAAAAUGAAAACCUAGAUCUAAUAAUGGCUAAAAUUAAAAUCAAGAAUAAGGAGAAGAGAAUAACCUGAAUUAGUCGACGGAGGAAGAAAUAAAGACGAGAAUCGAACUUUCAGGGGACCGGACGGUGCGUGAUUUCGUAGAGAAGAUGAAGACUGAAGAGAAAGAUAAACAGAGGAGGAGAAUGAAGAAGAUGAAAGGCAAAUGGAAGAAUUGGGUUAAAGGUUGUAAAUUUAUAUGAGGAUAAUCCCAGGGGUAUUACGGGAAGAAGUAAAAUAGUGACGAGACAGUAGCAUUGGGAAGCGAAAGGACAGCAGUUAAAAUCAUAAGUGCGUCUGGGUAAGAGCAAAAGAGGCACGCGUAGGAGGUUCGGGACUCGAGAGCAUGCGCAAUUAAUGAAUAGCUGGAGAGAUAGGGAUAAGGCAGAGCCUAAGGCACGUGAGGAGCAGGUGAUAGAUUAAGUAAUGAAAAGAACUUAUGACAGUUUUUCCGUCAUCAUAAGGAGUUUACAUUUAGGCGGAGAAAAAGCCUUUGAGCCGCCAUCUAAGAAAUAUAGAUGACGGUCAAAGGAGGGGCGAUGUAAGUACCAAACCAUGCUAGGUGGAGUAUUGAGGACACAGGAGCUAGAUAAGGAGAGCAAACUGGGAAGUACCCAAUCGGAGUUCAGAACAUUCUAGAGUAUCACGGAUAAAGCACGUGAUGUCUGGCUGUAAAGCAUUCACUGUAUAGUAUGUGAUGGAGAAUGAAACACGUAGGAGAUAAUAGAACCAUAGGAUGCAAAGGAGGAUCCAACGGUUCAAGGAAGGCGGUGAAUAUUGCUAUAAAAGGAUCACGUUAGGGUUCGCUAAAAGGUAACUGUUCAUUCUUUGCUAAAAACCUAUUCUCUAAACCUAGCCGCUUACUGACUUGAUCGUUGGAGCUUUAUCCACCGGUCAUUGUCCGGUGGUCAUUGCAGGUACUACCGUUGAAGCAGUUGAAGGACCCAGCUGAGCUCAUCAAGGAAAGUGGGCUUACAGAUAUAAUGAGAAAAGUGGAGAGGAUUUAGUUUUACUUACAAGUUACUCUGAAUGCUUCAAGAAAAUUCAAGUACACAAUUUGGCUUUCGAGCAAGCAGUUGUAAUUGUUUAAUCUCUCUUUCUGGCAGUUCUCCAGGAUAUAGCUUAGAGUUAAAAUAAACCCUUGUUGUUAGUUUGAUAGUCAGUUUAUCCAAUACUCUUGCACUUUUUAUCAAAAAUUUAACAAACCACAUCUUCUCCGCUGUCCAUCUAAAAUGCUGGAUCUCAACUAACUUCAAGUGUGACAAGAAACAUUUUGGAGUUGUUCCCAUUAUUUGAACUUAUCCUUUAAAUUGGAUCGAACUAAGUCCCUAUAUAGGAAACAUAAUUAGAAGCUUUAAAAUGAAACUGACAUGAAAAAGUUUCUUUUCAAAGCCGAAAAGAACACAAAGGAAAAUUAUGGACUUACAUCGGGAACGGAAAUAGAUUCGAUAUUAGGCAUGUUACAGAGUAAAUCUAUGAAUGUUCUACCAUUUGCCUCCGUUUUGUACCACACAGUCAGAUGGAUCAAGCGGGAAAGUGCAAGUAAAUGGAUUGAGUGGUUCGGACAGGCGAGGGCCUAGAUAUAUCAAAUAGUACUUCUGAUAAAAAAGGUAACCCCUGAACUUCAACGAUACAAAAGUACAAGACUCUGCAUAAAUCCUUAUCGCACAAGAAUUUAAAACAUCAGUCCCCCCAUCCCCUAUUUUUAGCAGAAAUGGUAACACUCUUGAUCUUUGACCAUACACAGUAAUCUAGGAAAAAUUCAUCUAGGAUAGACAACUUAAAGAAAUUUCCUGUAUUGAUUGAUCUCCAAAAAAUGCAAUCUAAGAUGCAGGACCUUAAGGCUUGAAAAACAAACCAAAGCGGGUAUCUUCAUCGAGACACUCAUUUCAAUUUCAAUAUCCUCAAUGAUUUAUAAGUAAAAUGCAAUCUGAAAACCGAAAGGGACAUUCCUUAAAAAAUUGAGAUAUUUAGUUCUUGAACUUUACGCCUCAUUGCCUCAUAGAGAUCCAUUCAUUGAAGUGAGUUGCAUCACACUCCUUACAUUUGAGGUUGCACCUAGCAUAUAUUUGAAAUAUCAUUGCAACGAAGCACUUUGUCUACAAACUCACUAAAGAUUCCCUUUGUUUUCCUAUAAUUUGGACUCUUGCUCGAGUCGUUAUACAAAUGUUCAUCACAAAAAUCAAGAUUGUGGAUGAACUUCCAAAAGGCCAUUCCAUCUUGUUGAUAAUACACUAGUACCCAGUGGCGGCCCUGAGGGCAUGCCCAAGAAGCUUUUGAUUGGGGCCAACCAAUUUUUAAAGAAAAAGUGCACUAAAUCUUUACUCAACAUGUAUAUAAUUAUUUAUAGACCACAAUAUUGUCAUAAUUAAUUUGGUAGAUUUACUGGUAGCAACACUAUACCCUACUAAAAAUGCCCUAAGACCAAUUCUUAAGUACUAUUUUUUUAAGAAUUUUUUUUUUCCACAAAAAUUAUUUUCUUAUGUGUUUAGAAGUAGGGGUGUUAAACGAGGCGAACGAGCCAAGCUUUGGUAUGUUCAAACUUGAGCCAAGCUUUUAACAAGCCGAGCCCAAGCUUUUCGGUUCGUUUAACGACCUUAUUUAAAAGAAAUGUAGCUACACAUGUGGGUCAUCUAUGUUUAAAUUUGAAUUGGCCACCUAAAACUCAGGGCCGGCCCUGCUAGUACCCAACAACAUAUUUAGUAGGAAGAAAGGAGAGGAUGUAAUGCAGAAUCCAGAAUGUGUUCAGGUAAAUUGUUAAUUCUAUCGAUCUCACCAUUGCACUGUUGUUUAGAUAGUUUUUGCUUUUUAGAAUUUUUUGCAGAAGCACUUGUUUCCAUGACUAAGGUUCCAACCAGAAGCUAUACUGGAAUAUCUAAGAACAGACGAACUUAUGAUUGAUGAACAAUAGUGUAUGCUUAAUGCAUAAAAGGAAAAGGCACAAACAUUGCAGAUAUCUCUCUGUUUUACUGAUCGAAUCAACUCACUCUCUUGACAGCACUAGUAGCACACGCGAAAAAGUCGGUCGAUCUCUUUUGGUCCUCUUUGGCUGUGUCCAAGUGAAACUCAAGAAUGAAGCAGAUAGGUUCCAGUCGAAGGCAUUCAGCGAUGGGAUUGAGAAGAUAUGGAAGAAGAUUCAGUGAUCCCAGCAGGGUCAAUCUCAUAGGGGAAGUCAACUAGUGCGGGAUAUAAGAAAAUAAUUAUAAAAUAAGAUGACACCUCAAAAAGGAAGAAUUACAUUAUUUUAGUAAGGAAAAUAGGCAUUACUUUCUAAAUAAAACAUUGCGUUGUAACUAUGAGAGAGUCUUUUCUCUCUCUCUUCUUUUAAGUUUUCUCUAUCUGAAUGUCGAAGACAUAUUACUUAUUUAUCAAGAAUGUUUCUAAAUUGAUAUGUACAAUUAUUAUAUAUUUGCCAAGAUGUUCUACAUUUCUAAGAUUUCCAUAUUACUGAAUAAAUAAUCAAAUGUUAGGUUGAACUCCAAGUUAAUUAAUUAAUUCCACAAUGUAGAACAAGAUAAUUAUAUUUUAAAUAAAUAAAUAAAUGUAGCAAACAAAAAUAAUCAAGCUGUUUUCCUUUUAAUAGCAACAAAACUGUAUCAACGAACCAUCUUUAGAGUUAGAGUAUCAAUGAACAAGGUAAUCUAAAAUUAUCAUUUCAUAUAUAAAUUGAAUUAUCAAUUAGGGUUAGAGUUCAUUAUUAGUGGCAAAAAAAGGUUAGAGUUCAUUAAACUUUAGAACAUUUCGUCAUGUGAUGUGAUAUAUUGGUUUCAAGAGUUAUCUACAAAUCCUCCAUUCGUUAAUAUUGUAGAUGAUAUACAGUAGAACCUCUUUAAAUUAAUACUCGAUUCGUUAAUCUCUCUAAGUUAAUGAAAUUCUCUAGUCCCGAUUUACAUCGUAAGUAGCUAAAUCAACACUCGGUAAGUUAAUAAAUUUUAAUAAAAUUGCAUAGGUCCGAUGCUAUUAAUUUAAAGAGGCUCUACUGUAUAAUUCAAUCUAUCUCACUUAUUGAGAAAAGUGAAAACAUUGGAGGUAUGAAGAAGUAAAGUGAAGAACUACAGUAAAAUUAAUAAUAAUGAAUAAUCUCAGCCCUUGUAGAAAUUAAAGCAACUUUAGGUUAGCUGUAGACAAGAUAGAUAUGGACGAAGUGAUUCUCAUUAUUCACUUCUUUGUUCUCUAUACAUAGCUUAGCCAAACAUAACAUGUACAUAGGAAAAAGAGGUGUAUUCACUUGUUAUUUCUCUAAGUACCACAUACAGUAUAUAUAUAGGCAUCACAAAGUCAAUCACUUGUGCUUAGCUAACAUAGGUGAGUGCCACCUAGCAUCCUUUUCUGACACAUCAAUUUGAUGACUAAUCAAGUAUCACUGAUGGUCUACCUAAUCACCUGGAUUAAGAGUGUGGGCUUGGAUUUGGACAUCCACUAUUUACAACACUCCCCCUUGGAUGUACAAUAUCCACCAUAUCAAGAUAUUGCCUCAUAAAACCUUGCUAGGAAAAUCCAGUGGGAAAAAACCAUGGCAAAGGAAAAAAAGUACAAUAAUUGAUUUCUUGAUUGGUGUUGGAUGCACUAUAUACUGCCUCGUUAAAACCUUGCUACGAAAACCCAGUGGAAAAAACCGUAGCUAAGGAAAAAUAGUACAGUGCGCUUAAUGUCCUGGUGGCUCCCCCUGAAGACAACUCCCCCUGAUGAAGAUUAGACUAAGCUCGACUUUCGGCGAAUCCCAAUGUCAUAUGCCAGUUUCUUAAAAGUUGAUGGAGGUAGUGACUUAGUGAACAAAUCAAAGAGAUUCUCAUCAGACCAUAUCUUCUGGACAUUGAUCUCAUUACUCUUCUAUAGUUCAUGAGAGAAAAAGAAUUUUGGAGAAAUAUGUUUUGUUCUAUCACUUCUGAUGUAGCCUUCCCUGAUUUGAUCAGUAGAUGCAGCAUUGGUUGUGGUUGAUGAUACAUCAUAUCUAAACAACAUGCGGGCUCCCCUCAGUUACAGAAACACUAACAGUGAUUUGUUUGGAAGAUCACCAAGAAAUUGUUGUACCACCAUAAGUAAAUACAUACCCGGUUUGCGAUCUUUCUUUGUAUGGGUCAGAUCUAUAUCCUGCAUCUGCAUACCCCUUUAGUUAGGAGCCAUUUGGUGGUUCUCUUGAAUAUUAUAAACCCAUAUCAGCCUCGAAAGUAACGCAUAAUCUCUUUUAAGCCAGUCCAAUGGCGUUGGGUUGGAGCUGACCUAAACCUGGCUAACAAAUUCACUGCAAAUGAAAUGUCAGGUCUAGUACAUUGGACUAAAUAUAAAAGAGCACCCUUAACACUCAAGUAUGGUACUUAAGGAGUAAGUAAAGAUUCGUUCUCCUCUUUAGGACGAAAUGGGUCUACCUUCACAUCAAGUGACCUUACGACCAUUGGAGUGCAAUUUGGCAACAUUUGUCCAUGUUAAAACGAUUUAAAACUUUUUUAGUAUACGUUGACUGAUGGACAAAUAUUCCAUGUGUUGUAUGUUCGAUCUGCAGGUCGAGACAAUACUUUGUUUUCUUGAGAUCUUUCAUCUCGAACUCAUUCUUUAAAUAGUUUGCAGCUUUGGCAAUCUCUUCAGGAGAUCCAAUUUUAUUUAUGUCAUCUCUUAAUCUUAAUAGAGUACAUAUGACAUGGUUUUGCUUCAGGCAGUUAGUUUGCAUCUUUAGCAAUCUCUUCAUGAGAUCUAAUUCUAUUUAUGUCAUCUCUUAAUCUUAAUACAUAUGACGUGGUUUUGUUUUAGGCAAUUUUUAUCCUUCAGGGACUUUCAUAUAAAUAUCAGUAUUUAACAUUUCAUAAAGAUACGCAGUAACCACGUUCAUGAGAUGCAUGUCGAGUCUUUUAAAGACCGCCAGACUAAUUAAGAAUCGAAACGUAAUGACAUCCAUCACAAGAAAAUAUGUCUCUUCAUAAUCAAUCCCGGGUUUUUGCGAGAAAUCUUGUGCCACGAGACGAGCUUUAUACCUCACAAUCUCAUUUUUCUCAUUGUGUUUCCUUAUAAAUGCCCAUUUGUAACCUACAAGGUUAACAUUCUUGGGGGUUAGGAAACACAUUUGUUUUGCAAGAGAAUCUAAUUUUGUUUGAAUUGCAUCCUUCCAUUUUGGCCAAUCAUGUCGUUGUCGACUAGGGCUGGCAAUGGUACGGGUUAGACCCGAAACCCGGUCCGAUCCGUACCGAUAAGAAUAGGUUUGGUAUUGCAUUUUUAUGUAUUGGUACGGGUCUGGUUCUUCAAAUUAGGACCCGAUUGUUAUCGGAUCGGGUUUGGAAUUAGUAGAUACCGAACCGAUAUGGACCCGAUAUAAAUUAUUUUGAGGUUUUGAAUAUUUUAGAUUCACUACCAUUAUUAACAUAUCAUAAAAAUCCUAAAUUCUAGAAAUUUGAUUAUUGUAAAUAAAUGUUUUAAUACUAAUUACCUUAUAAUUAUAUGCAAUUACAUUAAAAACAUAGAAAUAAAUAAAAUCAUAUACCAUAUUUGUAUACUUGAUUAUAUAUAUUUACUAAAUAUAUCUAUCUAGAUUCUUAAAAAGUAACUCAUUUUUUCUAAAUUUGUAUACAUGACAUAUCAAUUUAUGGUCAAAAUACCCGAAUCCAACUCGGAUCCGAUCCAAUAAGAUUUGGUAUGGGUAUGGUUCCUUACUUUCGGACCCGAUAGGGUCUGGUUCCGGGUCCAGGAUUAUUAGUUUUCUUAUUGGUUCGGGUAUGGUAUUUCUAAUAUCCGGUCUGAAUCGGUCCAUUGCCAGCCCUAUUAUCGACAUUCCUCAACAGUAUGUGUAUCAAGACCAUCAUCAUCUGCUGCAAUCUCAGCAGCUACGGCAAAGGAGAAUACGUCAUCGAUGACAAUUUUAUUUCUAUUCCACAACUCUCUUGUGUAUGCAUAAACUACAGAAAUUUCAUCAUUUUCAGGUACCUGAGCCAUAUCUGGGGCUUGUGUUAGUUCUGGGACAACCACUUUGGGGGCUUGUGUCAUUUCAGGGGUUUAUGUCACUUCAGGGACGACCACUUAGGAGCUUAUUUCGCUUCAGGGAUGGCCACUUCGGGGGAUUGUGUCACUCUAGGGACACAUUCCUCUUCAAGAGGUUUUUGUUUAGAGAGAGUGUGUUUUCCUUGCCUUAUAGCCUCUUUAGGAGCGCUAUUUACUGGAGGUUUUGUUUGACUUUUCCUCUUCCAGGGAUUUGAGUCCUUUGACCCAAUAGGUCGUCCACGCUUCUGGCGUACUUUAGACGAUUUCAUUUGCUGCCACAUUUGUGGGAUUUCCUUCAGGGACAUGUCAUCCUUCAGGGACAAAUCGUCCUUCUGGGACUUUAAUUCUCGCAGGCGCAUUAACAACUGCUAUAUUUUAUCUUAUCACUCUUGCAAGUCAAUUUAGGCGCUUCUUCAGGAAGCCACAAAUAUUUACACCGUUCUACAGUAACGGUACUUCUUCAGGAAGUGCUUCUUCAGGAAAUCGUAAAUAUUCACGCUGUUCUUCAGGAACAGAUGUAUUUUCUCCCCCUAACGGCGGGAAAACUGUCUCAUCAACGUGACAAUCUGCAAAUCUAGCGAUACGAACAUCAUAUGUCAAUGGUUCAAGAUAUCUAACAAUAGUUAGAGAAUCAAAACCAACCCAAAAAAUUCUAGACUACGAGACAUAUAACUUUACUAUCCGCAAGAUGAUUAUACAUGCUAUAUGCAUAUCCCUUCACAAUACAAGGAAAAUAUUUAAGUAUACUAUUAGAAACGAAUUUCAAAUAGUAAAACAAUGUAUAUGAGGAUUAUUUGACCAAAUAAAGUUAGAACUUCCGGUUCUUAAUUAAUGGAUUAAAACUUCAAGUCUAAUCAAAGAUGUGAGACUUCAGGCUUGAUCACUAACAAAUAAAAACUUUAGAUUCUUGGUCAAAAUCAAAUAUUUGAAACUUCCGGCUCACUGAGGAUUUUCUCGUUUUAUAAAGACUUCAGGCGUCAACAUCAUUUAUAAAAUAUGAUCAUUAGACUUCGAGUCUUGAUCUAAUCAUACAUAACUUCAAGUUCUUGGAGCUUUAAGCCCAAAUAAAAAUUAAAUUUGAUGUUGAGCUUCUGGUUCAUUAUGGAACACAUCAAUAUCACUAUGAAAUAAAUGGUUAGAACCAAUAAUUUCAAUUUAAAAAAUCAAAUACUUACUCAAUACUUACACCGGUAGUAGUGUAGUAGUUUAAUAUUGUAGUUCUUGUCUAUGUACUUCUUGAACAAUAGAGCAAUCUCGUGCUGAUAACGUCGUAAAAAUUAAAGCAACUUCAGGUUAGCUAGUUGUAGACAAGAUAGAUAUGGACGGAGUGAUUCUCAUUAUUCACUUCUUUGUUCUCUGUACAUAGCUUAGCCAAACAUAACAUGUACAUAGGAAAGAGAGGUGUAUUCACUUGUUAUUUCUCUAAGUACCACAUGCAGUAUAUAUAUCUAUAUAAUAUUACAAGGCGGUCUCAUAAACACAGCCGUUAGAUGCCUAUUAGGACAACCACAACCAUUGGAUGUAGAAUAAUUUAUAUAAUCGAUGUAAUAAGUUGUAAUAAUAGCCUUAGAUGUCCAAAAUUCGAUCUUAACCAUUAGUUGUCUAUUGAGACAAUCGUAGCCAUAUGAUUAAGAGUUUUAAUUGCUAUCACAUUAAAUUUCAGAAAUAUAACCUAUAGAUUAAUUAAUAAUACUAAAUAACCAAUAAUUAUGAGACAUGGGCAAUUAAAAUUAUUGUAAAUUAAUUAAUAAUACUAAAUAACCAAUAUUUAUGAGACAUGGACAAUUAAAAUCAUUGUAAAUUUAUUUUUAAAAUAAUAAUAAAAAUAUUGAAACCAAUGAAUCUUUGGUGUAUAAGGAUUUAGAUGUUCAAAAUUCGAUCUUAACCGUUAGUUGUCUAUUGAGAGAAUCAUAGCCAUAGGAUUAAGAGUCUUAAUUGCUAACACAUUAUCUUGUGGAUUAAUUAAGGCUCCAGAUUUUGCCAAAGAAAAAAAUGUUUUUGCCAAUGAUUAAUUCUUGGUAUUACAUAAUUGCCCUCAAUUAGUUUAAUUUAAAAUUUAACUAUUUAGUAUUCACAAAAUCUUGGAGAAAUCUAUUAAUGCUUUGCCCAUAUAAGGAUCAUACAGAAAUUUUGUAAUUAAAUUUUUUUAUUUUAAAUCCCCAAUUUUGAAUUUAUAUUUAUUUAAAAUACUUAAAAAAUAGUUUUUUAUGUAAAAGUUUAAUAAAUAGAAAAUGAAAAAGAUUCACUUUCAUUAUUGAUUGGUUUAAUCAAAAUUUUGAUAUGUAAUUAGAAAAGAAGAAUCAAACAAUUUUAGUGAAUCAAGAGAUUUGAUUUAACAGAUAUUUUGAUUUUUAAGAAUCUAAAUUCUAAAAAAAUGAAAAGUGGUUUUUGAACAACAAUUGUCAUAUUUAUGGUAAAACAAUUGAGGGUAAUUGUGUCAUAUCAAAAAGUUAUCAUUGGCAAGAUUAAUUUAAUUGAACCAUUAAAUUGCAAAUGUUUACUUACAUAUUAGCAAGAUUAAUUUAAUUAAAAUUUUGUAAUUAAAUUUUUUAUUUUAAAUCUCUAAUUUUGGAUUUAUAUUUAUUCAAAAUACUUAAAAAAUAGUUUUUGAUGUAAAAGUUUAAUAAAUAGAAAAUGAAAAAAGAUUCACUUUCAUUAUUGAUUGGUUUAAUCAAAAUUUUGAUAUGUAAUUGGGAAGAGAAGAAUCAAACAAUUUUAGUGAAUCAAGAGAUUUGAUUUAACAGAUAUUUUGAUUUUUAAGAAUUUAAAUUCUAAAAUAUGAAAAAUAGUUUUUGAACAACAAUUGUCAUAUUUAUGGUAAAACAAUUGAGGGCAAUUGUGUCAUAUUAAAAAGAUAUUAUUGGUAAAAUUAAUUUAAUUGAACUCACUAAAUUGAAAAUGCUUACUUACAAUGACAACUAAAUACUCGAAAACUAUUGUUGUAGGUUAUUUAAACUUUCUUACAAUAAUGGUGUUGACUAAACAAGAUAAAAUCCAACAAUAUCUAGAUGCAGGGUAUAAUGGACCACUGGAAGCAGCUAUGCGCUUAUUGGAAAUAUACUACCUAUAGAGAGACCGAAAGUGCAACGAUUACACCUCCAUCUUAUUGGAAUGCACCGUCUUCUUUUUAAUCCUAAUGAAUCAAAGAAAGCUAUUUUUAAAAGGGCUCAAAAUAAGAAAUCUACUCUAACUGCCUUUUGUUUAUUGUUGUGAUGCAGAUGCUUAUUCAAGGGAACUAACAUAUCAAGAGUUCUCUCAACAUUAUGUCUAGAACAAUGAAGAUUCUAAGUGGACAAGAAAAAAAUAUAGAUUUGCCAUUAGUAGAAUGUAUUUUACAAGUCCUAAUUUAAGUGAAAAAUUCUAUUUGUGGUUGUUGGUUACGAUUGUUAAAAGGUCUUGCACUUUUAAUGAUCUUAAAAUAUAUGACAAUUAUUUAUUUAAUACGUUUAAAAAAGCAUGUGUUGCACGUGGUCUGUUUGAGGAUGAUCAAGGAUACGUAGAAUGUUUAGAAGAGAUUACUCUUAUGGAAAUGUCACACGUUCAAAUUUUUUCCCGAUUGCAGGAAAAUAACACAAGCAUUAAAGCUUAGGAUUGCAUAAGGAGGGUAUGAGAUCCAAGUCUCUACUGAGUACAUUAUGCCACUAUUUUCCAUUCCUCCUAUAGUGGUUGGUAGUGAGACCACUGCUAAACUCUUGGUCACAAAAAUUGGUUGUGAAUGCAGUUGGAGUUGUUCUAUAUUAUCUUUUAGUAAUGUUUGAAUGUUUGUCACAUCUAUGUCUACUGUUUUGGUAAAUAAAUACUCAAUAUAUUUCAAUUAAUUAAGGGAAAGAUACUAUCACUACAAAAGAAUUUAGUUAUUCUAACUGGUAGUAGUUUUCCAUGUUUUGCACUGUACGUAAUUCAAACAAUGGGUCUUGGGAGAGAAAAUGACAACUGUAAUCAAUUUCAAAGUAUUAUGAUUUGGAAAGAGAUAUUUAAAACGUUUACUUAAAUGCUUACACACCAUUCUCUACCCCUCCAUAUGUUCUUCUAUGUGUUAAGAACUCAUACCAAAAAAAUAAAAAUAAAAAAAUACACAACUAAAAUGGAUGCUACCUAUAACUCUUAAAAGAAAGAAAAUGGCUAGAGAAAAAUUUUCAUAUGUUUAAUAUUUGUCUGCAAUCAAAGAUGGAGUGAAAUAAAUACAUAUUUGAAGCAAUUGAAUGAUAUUGGUAAAGUUCAAUAUAUAUGUAAUAUAUGCAACUAUUAUAUCCAAAAGCUCAUUAGGAUAAAAACUAAAGCCAAACGUGUUAUUGUUAUUCUUGAUCAAAGUAAAAGAUAUAUCAACUACAAUAAACACAAAAAUAAAUUAGUUGGAUGCAACAAAUAAAAAAUAUUAAAUCAAAAUUUAAGAUAAAUAUUUAAUAAAAAUUAUAGAAAAAAAAAUUAAAAUAAUAAUAAUUAAAAUAAUCGUGCCUUAGGCACAAGUUAUAACUAGUAAUACAUAUAUAUAUAUAAAUAAUAAUCUACAAAGGGUGCAUAAUUUGACUAGGACUAAUUUAUAUGACUAGGAUUAAUUUCUAUGACUGGGAUUAAUAUUUAGUAUGAUUAGGACUAAUCUACAAAGGGUGCAUAAUUUGACUAGGACUAAUUUAUAUGACUAGGAUUAAUUUCUAUGACUGGGAUUAAUAUUUAGUAUGAUUAGGACUAAUAUCUAUGAUUAAGUCUGAUUAGGACUAAUACACCCAAAACCUUAAUCGUCAAGUCAGUUUGCUAAACCUUAAUCUCUUCCAUCAUCAUCAUCGUCCUCUUUUAACCAGAAGAAAAAACUAAAACAAAAGUGAAAACGAUCUGCAAAUCCCUACUCACACAAUUGAGCACUAAAUAAGGAUUUGAGGGAUUUUGCUUCCUUACAACACCCUCGAAUUGAGUUUGCUUUGCUUCCUUUAUAAUACUCAAAUCACCCAAAACCGAGCUUGACUUAUUAUGGAGUCUGUUUUGUUUGUAGGAAAUUCGUUAGUUAUGAUUUUUAGGUGGUUCUAAAUUCUGCUGAAUUUUUUUUGAAUUUUUCUGUUUGGAUUUUGAAUUUUUAAUCGUCCAACAGCAUCAAGUUCUUCUUAAUCUGUUUGAAUUCAAGCCCAACAACAUCAAGUUCUUAUUUGGACAAUUGUUCUUAUUUUGCAGUCAAUUCAAUUCUAUAUAAACUGAACUAUUAGUUUUGAUCCUGUAUUACAAUCACAAUUAUUGACUGUAAAUAAUGUGAAUAAGUUGCAGAAUACUUGAAUGAGGAUUAAUUUUAAUACUGUAAAACAAUUCAAUUCUUUUAGGCACAUUGAGACCAAGGACGAAAAACAAAGUUAAUGAAUGAUGGAGUAAUUUAUGUAGUGUAGCUAGGUAGCUUGGGUUAGGAGACAUGUCUGUCCCUCUCUUCAAGUACUCCUGCAUUUGCACUGCAGUUAAAUUAUGCCCGUCCAUCGCAAUGAAUUCUUCAGCUGUCAUCCCAAUCUUAUUACUUUUAAAGUUUCAAUGUCUUAGGAACAUCUCAUGACAUUAUAGCAUAAUGAAACUUUAAUAGUUAUCACUAAAAUACACUCCAAAUUUUGUGUCUAGAGUUGCUUUGCUGCAUCUCAAACUAAUAUGCUAUGCUGUCAUAUCAGUUAUUCGUGUUCAUGUAUUCAGCAUUGGAUGUCUUACAGUGAUCUUCAUUCAUUAAGCAAAACUAAAAAUUCAUCGUAUUAGUAACCAAAAUCAUGUCGACACCUUCUUAGCGAAAUCACUUAUAUAGAAAACUAGAACUAAUGUUAUGGUAUUAUUAGGAGCCCCAAGGAAAAUGAUGUAGUCUGAAACCAUUUGAAUGGGGGAGUGUAUAGAGAGAGCUUUGUCAGAUUUGUACUACCUCUUCCUUGGUAGUAUACUAGCCAUAGCUUUCCUGAUUUUGUUUUCUCCUUAUUUUCCGGCCUCCAUGUGAAAUGUGCAUUGCCUAAUAACAAUGAUGCUUUCUUAAAACAAUAAUAUAAGCUGACACGGGUAUAGGUUUCUUCUACAGACAAACUGAAGUGAUGAGGGAAUUUUAAGUUAAUUAAAUGAGUACGGGACUAGAAACUAAUCUAAUGUAUUUUUAAGAAAAAACAAUGAUGUAUGAAAAAUUAAAAAUUAAUAAAUUAGAAUUAAAUAAUAUCAAGCUAAAUUAAUCAAAAAGACAAAGGAAAGUUUGCUGAAAGUGUAUCUAGAGCCGGUCAUAAUCUGAAGAGGGUGGACUUCGACUCUGACGUUAGCCUUACGUCGGUGACCCAAAAUAUAAUAGCAGACAAGUUUUGAAAACCAGAAGAACAAGCUAAAAUCCAGUGUAGACAAUAAUUAACACCUCACAAUGAAUUUUGUAAGAAAUAUUCAAUUUGAUUAAGUACUUUAACUAAUAUGGCAUAUGCUUGGAAUUUAAAUUUUAAACAAUGUCAAAUGGAGCCUAAAAAGUAAAUGGGAUUUGGAUUUAUACAUAUUGUCUCCUUCAUUCCUUCGAAUGUUUUCGUAGUUGAGUAUCCUUCUAGAUACUAUGUUGAGGUUAAUACCUUUAUUUUCACUUUUUAGCAUACAAUUUUGAUCUAUAUUAUCAUACAAACACAAAAAAAUUGUUUUUUCGUUUAAUGUUAGCAGUUUUGUUUUGUUUCCCUGUUUUACUAACUAAGAAAGUUUUAUUUCAACUACUGUUGAAAUCCUAAAACGUUAGCUUGACACUUUCCCCAUUGUUUUGCCCUUCCCAGUAUUCCACUUAUAAUGCUCCCCCGAGCUGACUUCUUUUAUAUCUACAUUGUCUGACAGAGAAAGAACAAUGGGUACAAAAGCCUUCUUCUGAUGAGUCUGUCAUGUGUAACAACUCCAUCCAGAAAUGCCUAGGCUGAUUUGAUAUUGAAGUUUCCACCUAGACUAAGAGCCGAUAUGAUUUUAAAGAUUUAAGUUUGGAUUAUACAUGUUAAGAUCUAAUUAUAGAGUACUUGAGGAGCUGGUGAUAGUUCAUUGUAGUUGUAGGCAUUCUAGAACUUUGUUGGCUAAGUGCAUAGCACAAAAUAUCGCGACAAUUAUAGUGUGACAAGUUUGACCAUUUUGAGAAACUACAAUUUUGUUUAGAAAGAACUUAGUCAAUAUUACUUGAAUGGGAACAAAAUUAGCCCAUUUUAAUUUAGGUACUUAGAAACACUGAAACAGAACACAAACUUGACAAAUUGAUGCAUUAGCUUGAUUUUUCUGGAAGGAACAUUAAUUAGCAUGGGCACUCCAUAUAACUAGGAAAUAUUAUGUGAGUGAAAAAGCAAAAGAAUAAAUUAGCAUAUAUAAUCCAUUUACGUUUUUAUACAGUAAAUGCAGAGAUAAUAUUAAUUGAUAUCUACAUUAAUAAGGAAGAAAAUGCAAAAGGAUAAUGUUCAGAAGAAUAAUGUUAUCAUAUUCCUUGGUAUGAUAAAUAUGGAUUAAGAAUAGAAAUUUGUUGAAGCCAAAUAUGCAUGUUUCGCCAACUAGCUUAUAAAAAUAUUGAAAUAAUUAGAGAUAUUUUGCAUGCAAUUUGAUUAGCAAGGACAAGUGAGCGUUACGCCUUUUCCAAUAACAAAUCUGAAGACCCUUUCAAUAAAAAUAUAAUAGCCUAAAUACCAAUCGAAUAAUACGUCGUCCAAUGACUUGGCAGGUAAUGUUACUUUCCAGAUGUGAGGCUAAUGGAACUGUGCACUUGGGAAUCCUCCAAGAAUGGUUUGGAAUACAUUGGUGGAACUCCCGAGCUUUCACUUUGUUCUGCACUAUCAUAUUUAUCAUGCUUUUGAGAUUAUUUGAGAUUAUGGUACAAAAACUUUUUUGUUCAUUCUUAUAUUUAUAGUUGUGGUUUUUUCUUAAUGGUUAUGAGAAGUACAAAACAUUAUUGAGAGGGCAUUGAUAGUAAAGGGGUAUACAGUACUUCUUGGAAGUUAAUUAUAUGCAAACUAGAUUUAUGUGAAAUUGUUGUUUGCUAUACAGGUAAACUAUGGUUCCAAACAAUUAUUCGAGACUCUGCCAGUGGCCACAGGAGGACUCUAUUGAAUUGGGAACCAGUUCAAAAUAUAAGCUUUUGUUACAGAUUCGUGUUCUCAAAUGAUGCUUCAUCUCCAUGACGUGUAUGAUACAAAGUCUCAAUAAGGUUAAGCAUUUGCCAACUCUACAGUAUUUCUAUAUGACCGUGGAUCUCCAUGUUCAUUUUUGUAACUUAUCGAUUAAUCUCACUUUCUACUUUAAUCGAUAAAUAUAAAAAUAAAAAUUGUUUACGGGUCACCAUGUGGAGAAGUAGAGGUAGAAUCUAAGCAUACUCAAGCUAGCUGGGUUGUGUUAGUAGCUUAAGUAUGAUCCAAAUCUAUUUUCUGUACUAUGACAUGAGCUGAUAGCUUAGCUUUUGAUGUUAUUGCACUUGAAUAACAUUAACUUUUGAUAGUUAGUAGCAAUUGAACUAUGACAUGAGCCGCUUGAAUGAGGCUGAAGCCUUUGAAGCUUGGGUUUUAGAUAGGGCUGGCAAAGUGACCCGAGACCCGUUAACCCGACACGAACCCGACCCGAUAUAAACAGGUUUGGGUUUAGCCUUAUCGGGUUGGCGGGUCAUUUUGACCCGAACCUGUUAACCUGUUUAAUAUACAGGUCGGGUUCAGGUCUGAAUAUUAACAGGUCGGGUCAGACCCGAAACCCGUUAGAAAACCCUAAGUAUAAAAUAGAAAAAUACCAAUACCCUAUCUAUCCUUGUUAUUUUCUUCUUGGCCGCCACCAUGAACAAACCAGUGAACCACCAUUAACGUCUGUUCUUCUUCAUGUAAAAUGGCAGCAUAUCAUUCAUCAUCAACUCUUCUUCCUUUAGAAGUUGAAAUCAAGAUUUCUUCAGCUAAUGAUCUUAAAAAUGUUAAUUGGAAACAUGGUGAUCUCAAAUCGUAUGUUGUUGUUUGGGUUGAUCCUAACUCCAAUUAAUCAUUCUUCUUCUUCUUCUUCAACUUCAUCAAUCUAUUGAUUUUUCUUCUCACUACUUUCCUUCCUUCUUUGCAGCUUUAAUCUGUCUAAGCCAUGUUCUGACGAAUUCUUGUCAACCAAAACGACCGUUUGAAGCAUAUAUUGGAUAGUACUGGUGUUGGCGGUGGUGAUGGCGAUGCUGUUGCUGAGAUCAACGGUGAGAUUAGAGCACGGUUUCUUGGAAUCAAAAGAAGAUGUACUUCUCUCAUUCUUCAGUUGACAAAUGUUUAUGAACAAAACAAUGAGUUAUCGGUUGUGAAUCUUUCAAUCGAAGAAAUCUUGAAAUAUAGAUGUUAGUACGUUUACUGUUUUUCAUGAUUCAUGAUGUUGAUGAAAAAUUGAGAUCCAUUGAUGAUGGUAAUUUUACAGAUAAUACAGAACCAGUUGGUUUUACGCCACGAUUUGGCUUCCAUCAUCCAAAUCAAGAAGCAACACCAUAUUACCCACAGUCAUAUACAAACAUUCAAUGUGUUUAAGAAAGCAGGUCUAAACAGGUCGACCUGAACCCGACCUGUUUAAUUAGCAGGUCAGGUUCGGGUUUAAGGAAAAAGAGUUAAACAGGUUAACAGGUCAGGUUCGGGUUUAAGCGAAAAACACCCCAACCUGUUAAGACCCGACCUGAACCCGACACGACCCGACACGAUUGCCACCCCUAGUUUUAGAUGACGUGAACAACAAAAUUGACUAUAGGAUUUUGAACCAACUUUUGUGUUAAGCUAGCAAGUGCUAGACAUGGUGGUAUUGACGACUGGAUGAAGAGUGAUAUUAAGCCUACCUUUGCUGCCUAAAGCAUUAACUCUUGCUUUCUUGAGUUUAAAUUUUUUUCCUUUUAAGAGCACAAGACAUUAUUUUAUUUAUUUAUUUUUUUUUUUUAUAAAGCAAAACAAGACACUUGACCACUGUGAUUCUAAAUUUCUGAUAUGAUCAUCCGACUAUAUUCUUUCCCAUAAUCAUCUUUUCUUUACUUAUGCGGUACUAUUUUGAUUCACAUUUUCCUUUGAGCAACACAAGACACUUGGGUAAACAAUUUUUUUUUAUCGUGAAUAGAUAUUAUAAAUAGGAACAUAAGGUCAUGUAUUUUAAUAAAAUAUUUGCAUUUAGCAUUUUGUGCAUACUUAGCUGGUGUAGCUCAGUUGGUUAGAGUGUGUGGCUUUUAAACCACAAAGUCGAAGGUUCAAGCCCUUCCUCCAGCAUCUGUAUUUACUGUAGCUUUGAUAUUUUGGCAUAAUAUUCAUAUUUAUCUCAAGUAGCUCAUUUUGUUCGAGUUUGAUGGUUUUUUACCUCGAUGUUGAGUUCAAGCCUUUUUUAUACAAUUUACAUUUUAAUUGCCAGUUUUAUUACAAUUUGGUGCUUUCAACGAUGUAAUGAAAUUAGUUUCAAUUCUUUUAUAUUGUCAUCAUUCUAGCCUAGAACUAAUAUGUUACACGGCACACAGCUGUUUUCAUCCUCGAAAUCGUUGCGAUCUUUAGAAACUAACACAAAUAGUUGUGAAACAUGGUCUUUAAUGAAGAUGAAGAUAGCUGGCGGACGAAAUUGAGCAGAAAAGGGGAUUUUUUUGUCCACUCCAUGGGUUUUUUAGAAGAAUUUUUUAUCAAAGUUUGUUUGGUAAUUUCUAUGACUUUUCUAAGGUCCCUAUUCUAACCCUCAUGUACAAUUGGCCAAAACAGUUUUUCUAAACAAAAUUUCAUAGUAUUCGGUAUCUCCUGAUAUAGCAAUUGCAACAUCUCCAAGCUUGAAACUCUCACCUGUUCAGAACUUUGUUUAUGGUGUUUCACGUGGUGGAUAGACUUGAGCUUUGGCGGAAGUGCUAUCAAUAGUUGAAAGUAACAACAUGCGUACUAUCAGCAUGUUCCUGCAAGAUUGUUGUCUAUUGUUCCUAGCACAACAACUGAUCUUAAAUAUGGCUGAAACAUUGGCCCAAACUUCUUCACGAGCUCACUAUGUUCCCUAGGUACUGAAGGUGAUUUUUUCUUUUUUAUCUAAAUUUUGGACAGAACAUGAAAAUAACAUGUUACUUAUUGUUUCCUUGGCUGUCUAAUUUCAGAUAUCAUUUGAAAUUCAAAGACCGGAGGAAUUGGCUAUUAAAGAAUCUAGGGAUUAAAGCAUUUAUAUGUAAAUAAAAAAUAAUCUAACAACCAACAAUUUCAACAAUAAGUUAUGACAGUAGUGAUAUCCAAAUUAUCAAAAAAUAAUUAUAGGUUCAAAAUGUCAAUAAGAAAAUCGAUGUAUCUCAUUGACUGGAAAGAAGCAAAUGAGAUUAUGGAGGUAUUCUUCGAAGAAAAAAAAAAGAUAUGAACAAACAAAGACUAAGAAAGAAACAGUCAUUGGAGAGAAGAUACAAAUAUAAGAUAAGUUAAGCGUCAAAAUAGAGAAUCUCAACAACAAUAAAAUAAUUUAUUUAUGUUGUUUUGAGAAAAUCCUACAUAUUAUUGUGUAAGGUAGUAUUUUCAAUAGAAAAUAUUACAUUGCCGACUGCAAUUUACGAAUAUGUUAUCAUAUUUUUGAUAAAAUUAUUGUCACACAAACUUCUAUUAAAUGGUUUCUUUGAAAAAAAUGGUUGUUCAUUUCGUCAUACCAUAUGUGAUUUUAACUUUUAUUUCUACAUCACAUGAUUAUCUUGAGUGGAAUAGAUAUUUGUGUUGUUCAUAACAUCAAACUGGUGGCUUUUUUGUCUCUGUCAAACUACGUUAAUCACUCGCUUAGGGAUGGACACAGAUAAUAAGAUAGAGCUAAUUUUUGAAGGUAUUACUAUUGAUAACGGAUGGUAUACAGUUGACCUUUAUGGCAUACUUACAAGUUAUUAUGGACAAAUAAUAUAUCCAAAUGCUUUUUUGAAAACAAUCUGAAAGGAGAAAAUAAUGGAAAUAAUAAGAUCAACAGUAGAAGAUAUACCACCAGAAGAAGAAGAUGAUACAUAUAUGGACGAAAUGGACAAAAUGGACCUGAUGAAAAAAAAGAUGAUAUACAAGAAAUUUCAAAUGGAUACAUUGAGCUGUUAGAGAUAUUUACUCUAAAAAAUUUAGUUAAUUAGAUUAAUUAUUAUAUUUUUAAGAAUAAUUACUUCAAAUAAAUAAUGGUUGACCAACAUCACCUGAGUAUCUGACAGUCAGAAACCUACUCAGUUUUGCACAGUUGUACUGAGCAUUUGUUGUGUUAUAGCAGUAGCUUAAUGUUACCACCUAUGAUGCAAAAUUUUUGUUAUUAGAGUAUUUGACUAUAGGGACCAAUUAUGUGAUUAUUUAUAAUUUAGAUCAACAAUUUUAUCCAUGCAUCAAUGUCCCUAAGACUAUAAAGCGUCAGAACAAUUAUAUUUUUUAAAUAAAAAAAAAUUAUAUUUUUUAGAGUUCUAUUUUCAAAUUAUUAAUGGUAGUCGUGGCAGCGCCACGGGUUUUACUAGUAUAUAUAUAGGCAUCAUAAUGUCAAUCACUUGCUCAGCUAAUAUAGGUGAGUGCCACCUUGCAUCCUUUUCUGACACAUCAACUUGAUUGCUAAUCAAGUAUCACUGAUGGUCUACCUAAUCACCUGGAUUAAUAGUGUGGGCUUGGAUUUGGACAUCCACUAUUUACAACAAGCCCAAAUAUAUGUGUAGAAGAACAUAGAUGACAGUAUUCACCAGAGCUUGGACGCUUGGUUGCAGAUCGAGAACAAAGAGGGAAAUCUGAAAUUUUUAUUUUUUAACGAGGGAAAAGUUUUGCGAAAUACAGGCCCUUUUAGAUAGAGCCCAACCCAACAAAGAAGCCUGGUGUGGUGUUUGAUGAUAAGUAGGGUUCUUUUCUUUUAACUAUAAAUUAUUGUUUCUCUCUUAUCGAUUGAUCUUCUACCAUCAAAUUAGGGUUUCUUCUUCAUCUCCAUUGUAACACAACAUCAUGAGGGCUAAGGUAACAACAACAUCUUUAACUCUUUCUAUCUCUUAAUCUAUUACAAUUGUUGUUCUCUUUCUAUCUCUUAAUCUAUUAAAAUUGUUGUUAGUAAUGUGUAGGUUUUGAUAUAUUGUGUGAUUUGUUUGUUUGUUAUUUGAUUUAUACAACAGUGGAAGAAGAAGCGAAUGAGGAGAUUGAAGAGGAAGCGUCGAAAGAUGAGACAGAGAUCCAAGUAGAUUGAUCGAAAUUAAAGUUUUAUGUUUUUGUUUUGUUUUAGUCGGUAGAUAUAUGUAUCGAUAUCGGAGUUUUCUUUUUAGAUCGGAAACGAUUUCACUUUCGGCGGAUGAAUCGGAAUCGGAAUAGCUACUAAAAUAGUAGUUUUAUGUUUAUCGUAAUUUGUAUCGGAUUUUAUGGGUUUUUUCCUAAUAUCGGAAGAAUCGGAUUAGUAGCUUAUGGUUAUGGUUAUUUGGAUGAAUGUUUGAUUUGAUUAAUUAGUUUGAUUUAGUUUUUAAUUUUUUAUUAAAUUGAAAAGAUAGCAUGGCCUGAGAUUAAGAUUAGUUUCAUAAUUCCUUUAUUCAUGAUUUGCCCCUUGUUUGCGGUUUUUAUUUAAGCAAUUUUUAUCACUAAAAUUAGUCAUGCUUUCACACUAAAAACCUUUACAUGAUAG